rnacentral:RNase_P_RNA from 1 species
CCAGACGGCCGGAUGGCCGCUCUUCGCCUUUGGCGCAGAGAGGAAAGUCCGGGCUCCACGGAGGCACGGUGCCGGGUAACACCCGGCGGGGGCGACCCCAGGGAAAGUGCCACAGAAAGUACACCGCCGGCCUGUCCCGGGCGAACCGGGCGGGCGGUAAGGGUGAAACGGUGCGGUAAGAGCGCACCGCGCCGCCGGCAACGGCGGCGGCAGGGAAAACCCCACCGGGAGCAAGACCGAGUAGGAGCGGCGGGCAUCCCGGAAAUCCGGAGAUGCCGGGCGAGCCUUCGCGCUGCCGCUCGGGUGGGUCGCACGAGGCGCUCGGCAACGAGCGUCCCAGAGGAAUGGUCAUCGCCGCCGCCGCCGCGGUGCGGCGGNNNNNNNNNNCGCCCGCCACAGAACCCGGCUUAUACGCCGUCUGGCAGC